GCUGGGCAUGGUGGUGCACACCUGUAGUCCCAGCUACUUGGGAGGCUGAGGUAGGAGGAUCACCUGAGCCCAGGAGGCGGAGGUUGCAGUGACCUGAGAUCGGGCCACUGCAUUCCAGCCUGGGCCAUAGGGCGAGACCCUGUCUCAA
rnacentral:SRP_RNA from 1 species